rfam:Oryza glumipatula chromosome 2, whole genome shotgun sequence.
AAUAAGUGUAGUUUUGUACUAUUCACGUUUAACGUUUGACCAUUCGUUUUAUUUAAAAAAAUUUUAUGAUUAGUAUUUUUAUUGCUAUUAGAUGAUAAAAUAUGAAUAAUACUUUAUGUGUGACUAAUUAUUUUUAAAUUUUUUACAAAUUUUUUAAAUAAGCCGGACGAUCAAACAUUGGACUCAAAUAUCCACGGCUACACUUAUU